CAGCCUAGGUGGAAAGUUUUCUGCCUGGCGAGAAACUUUCGCGCCGAAGUAAUAUUGCAAAGAAACUGAACUGCAAAUUAUGGUUAGGAUUGGUUCCACUUUCGGUCUUUGACUCCGGUUCACCCAGGGGUCCCUACCGCCAAAAAAACAAAAAGGAAGGCUCAUCUGGAGUGUGAUAAACUGAUAAUGGUUCUUCACUUCUUUAGGUUAGGAAGCUUACAUAACCUACCAGCUUGAAACAGAUGGAAUUUUAUUGAUGCAACAAUGUCUCUGCUUUACUUCUCAAUUACAAAUUGUUGAAGCUUGAAACAGAUGGAAUUUUAUUGAUGCAACAAUGUCUCUGCUUUACUUCUCUGUUUCUUUGCCAAUGAUGACUGGUGAGAAAGAAGCUGAAUCUGACCUUCUUGUGUUUGGAUUGUGCUGAAAAUGCAAGAGAAACUAGGACGGUCUGAGGCAAGUAGUUACUGUUGUGCCUUAAUGUGCAAUUGCAGGGUUCUUUGUUCGAGGUAGCCCAGUACUGUAUGAAGUAUUCAAUCUGGAGUAAGGUUAUUAAACUCUAAAUUGUUAUCUGAAUCUGGUUCAACCAGAAUCAGGAUUGGACUUGGUAUCGAUCCGAUUUCAAUAUGCGAGCAUCGUUAUCAUAAUGAAUCAAUCAAUGUUGUUAUGAAAUAGAAACUACUGGCCACAUGAUUCAUCAACAUUUUGUAAUAGUCCAGGGAGUAUGUGACAUUCUUGUAAAUAAAAGCAUAGACUGCCUAAUUGAACAAGUUUGGGUCUAAACACCUCAGCUUCUGUAUAUCAUAUGAAAUGGACAUACAAAGGAGGGAAAAUGUUUUAACCAUUCCUCAUCCUGCUUGUUUACACCACAUCCUGCAUUUAAUUGAUGGAUUAUUAGUCAUAUGGUUCA